UCUUCUUCCUCUUCUUCAUAUCUC
rnacentral:sRNA from 1 species